rnacentral:rRNA from 1 species
UAUUGGUCAAUGGCCGGGAGGCUGAACCAGCCAAGUCGCGUGAGGGAAGACGGCCCUACGGGUUGUAAACCUCUUUUGUCAGGGAGCAAGAGGCGGGUCGGGACCUGCUGUGAGAGUACCUGAAGAAAAAGCAUCAGCUAACUCCGUUGCAGCAGCCGCGGUAAUACGGAGGAUGCGAGCGUUAUCCGGAUUUAUUGGGUUUAAAGGGUGCGCAGGCGGAGGCACAAGUCAGCGGUAAAAUCGCGGGGCUCAACCCCGCUCCGCCGUUGAAACUGUGUCCCUUGAGUGCGCGAAGGGUAGGCGGAAUGCGUGGUGUAGCGGUGAAAUGCAUAGAUAUCACGCAGAACUCCGAUCGCGAAGGCAGCCUGCCGGCGCGCGACUGACGCUCAUGCACGAAAGCGUGAGUAUCGA